AGAUCCACUACUCAGUUGGUAGAGUACAAAGCUCUUAACCUUGUGGACGUGGGUUCAAGCCCCAU
rfam:Triticum aestivum genome assembly, contig: Triticum_aestivum_CS42_TGACv1_scaffold_086636_1DS